rnacentral:rRNA from 1 species
UACCAGCUCUCCGAGUUGUAGGGACGAUUAUUGGGCUUAAAGCGUCCGUAGCUGGCUUAGCAAGUCUCCUGUUAAAUUUAGCGACCCAAUCGUUGAGCCGCGGGAGAUACUACUAGGCUAGGAGGCGGGAGAGGUCGACGGUACUUUCGGGGUAGGGGUGAAAUCCUAUAAUCCCGGGAGGACCACCAGUGGCGAAGGCUGUCGACUAGAACGCGCUCGACGGUGAGGGACGAAAGCUGGGGUAGCGAACCGGAUUAGAUACCCGGGUAGUCCCAGCUGUAAACUAUGCGGGCUAGGUGUUGGGGUGGCUACGGGCCACUUCAGUGCCGCAGGAAAGCCAUUAAGCCCGCCGCCUGGGGAGUACGGCCGCAAGGCUGAAACUUAAAGGAAUUGGCGGGGGAGCACCACAAGGCGUGAAGCUUGCGGUUC